UUUUUUUGUAUUUAGUUUCUUCUCCCGCUUCAAGGUGGCGCUGGUGUGAAGGUGCGUCGUCUGCAUGUUUACGUCGGCGAAUCAGCUGGUUGAUAUACAGGAAGAAUGAACUUGGACAUAAAACAUUAUAAAAGAAGAAAGAAGAAGGAUGAAAUUGGUCUAAAUACCUAUAUGAGAAGGAAGAAGAAGUACACAAGGAAUCAUCUUCAAGGAAAUUAUAAAUUAUCAACAAACGAGCUGAAUAUAAUAACAAUUAUAUAAUAUCUUGUUUUUUAAUAAACGUAGUCUAGAAAUUAUGAAUUGAAGUAUUUUUGAAGAGUAAAAAUAGACAAGAAGGAUAUGUUAUUUUAAGUGAAUAAGAUAUAGAAUAUUAGCUUACAGGUCCAGUUCUGCCCAGCCUUCUUAUAGACGUAAAAUAAGAUAUGCAGUAGUAUCAGUAAUGUCUAGAAUCAUUUUCUCCUUUUUCCAGCUAGCAAAUAAAGGAGCCCAGGAGAUUAAGUCAUAACUAUAAGAUCUGCAGCCAUCAUUAUCUGAUGCAGUUGAAGACAAUCACUUGCAGACUUUGUCAACAGGAAGCAUACAAAAGUGACUGCGUCGGGUCCAAAAUCCUAAUAAGUUUAGUGGAAAGUCAGCUUUAGAAAACAAGGAUAUCUGCUCCAUACCACCUGCUAAUUCAGUGUACAACAUGAAUGUAUGUGAUAAAUGUGAUGAAUGUAUGUGACAAAAUAAGCAGUGAGAUAAUGGAUUUUUUAUGUAAUAUGAUAUUGUAUACUUAUUAAGAAAGGAAUCAAGAGAUGCAUUUUUAAAUACAGACAGAUAAGGAGGAGACCUAAAGAGUCACAGUAGAUUUCUACAAUUCUCUUAGAAUGCUUCUAAUUUAACAGACAAUCAUAUGAAGAGUUUUGAAAACAGGCAGUUAUUCCAGAUCAACAUCUUUGGCGUAAAGACACACAACCAACCAACAGUGGUAUGACAUUUGUAAAUGAUGUAAAUGGAUCAUUUGAUAUUCAUUUCAAAUAAUGCAAAAACUGUGACUAGUAGAAAGUGUUAUAUCAGCAGUGAAAAAAAAAAAAUAUAGAUUUUAUAAAACUUAGGAGGGAUUUAUUAUUUUGGAUUUUAUUAAGCAUAAACUGAUCAAAGCAUAAACCCAUCAAUGCUAACACAGUAUAUAUUGUAGGAAAUUAUUGCAAAAGUAUUGCUUCAAAAUUCACAUGCAUAUACAAGUAGAUUUUGUCUUAAGCACAGCUUUUUUUCAUGAUUUCUUUUACAUCACAAGAACAACCCAGACUUCUUAAGUGACCAAUUCUUGAGUUAAUAAACAACCCCCUUAGAAAAUUUAAUUUUGUGUAUGGAAAUUAUGAAAAUUCAAAUGUACAACCCUUUGAGUGUGCCUUGAAAAAAAACAAAUAUACAACAGUAUGUUAAAUGCAGAAUUAAUUCUUUGUAGGUAAUAUCAUCCCAUUCCCAAGACAUUAGUUAAUUUGAUAAGAAGAUGUAGAGGGAAAGGAUUUAAACAUAUUUUUUAUGGAAGUACCAUAUCUUAAAACCAUAAUUGUAUUUGUGAAGAAGGGGACACAGAAUAUGACUAUUGAUGUUGUUUAAGACUUGGCUUCUCUUAAUUUAAGCCAGUAUAUUCUUAUUGAUAAGUUUUGAGAAAUGUGUGAUAAUGGAAGUAAUUGUUAAAAAGUAUUUGAAUAACUUUGCUUUUUUUUAAAGUAAAGAACAAAAUUACCAAAAAGGAAAGCAAUACUAUAUCUAACUUAUGCAUCUUUAUAGUGACAGGGUUAUCACAUGAGAUGGAAAGAGUUACUUUACAUUUUUUUAAGAUGGUUAAUGCAAAGUCAUUAGUCCUCCUAUUCCUAAGAAAGAAAAUUGUAGGUAUUUAUGAAAUUUAGGUGAUAUCUCUUUCUUCUUAAUAAAAUACAUGUUCUCAAAUUACCAGGGUGUAAAAAUGGUAGAAAUGAACAGAGUUUUAAUAAGAAAUGUAGAAAAAAUAAAGAGAAUUGUUUAUUCCACACAGCUAGAUAUUUUCUUAUAUCCUUAUGUACAGAUUUGUGUAAUACUGAAGAUCUUAGAAAAAAAAGUGAAUAAUUUCAUUUUGGAACUAUUCUUUGAUAUAUGUACUUUCAACAAUAGAUGGAAAUAUUAUUAAACUUCCUUUUUUCAUCUUCCCUUUUUUCUCUUUUAUGAAGAUGGAAAAAGAAAUAACAAGAUUCUAUAGUGCAUGUAGGAAAAUACGUCUUUUCUUUAAAGUUCCCUACUAUAUAAAACUUGUUUGUAUAUUUUCCAGGACUACAAAGAAUUUCAUAACGCAAAAUAAAGUUGGCAUAUAUGUUUAACCCAUUGUACAAAGAUAUAUGUACUCUCCACUGCAAAUUUUGUCACACAAAUGAUUCCACAAAUGGUGAGCCGUGAGGAGUCACAUUCUAGCCCAACGUAACCUUAUCUGAUUUCCCUAUUUCAUGAUUUUGGGGGAUUUUUUUUUUUCUAAAGUUAAUGAUACUGAUGUUGUUAUUGUAAUGAUUGAAAUUAUGGUUAUUAUAAUAUGAUUAGAACACAGAAGUCAAUAAAAAAUAGAACGGAAUCUUUCAAAAUCAAGAAAGGGUAAACAGAUGAGAUAGCUUGGACUAGUAAUUGACUCCUCAGUGACUAAGGUACUUAACGGGCCAUCUAUGUGUUAAUACAAUCAGUAUUCUAAAAUGACAGUGGAAAUGGCAUGUAUCUCAUACCAUUCCAGCACUAAGCAUUGGAACUAUUUUAUGAUGUUCUAAAAUGCUUUUGUUGUCUGUUGUCAGUUUUCAUAUUGAUUUAUUUUUAUAUUUAUUUUUUUAUUCAUGUUUUAAACAUUUAUUUUUGGGAUUAAUAAUUUCCUAACUUUCUCUAGCAUAUAUUUUGCUUUCAAAAUUGCAAUACCAAGCAGUUGUUACGUAUUUUACUUUAUGAUUAUGGAUGCAUGCAUGGGUACAUACCAGUCUACAUUUGUUUUAUUAUUCAUAUAUACUUCAGUAUUUAGCAUGUUAUUGUCAUUACUUUUUUAUUAACUUCUUUGCAGUAAUUCUGUAGCC
rnacentral:lncRNA from 1 species